rnacentral:sRNA from 1 species
CGAUUGGGUUCGGAAUACUUGAAAAACAAACAACAGCACCAAAAGUCUGCGAAUUUCGAAAACAAUGUCAAUGGUCUGAAUGGACUAAACGGUUUAAACUUUAAGAAAAACAAAGUAUUCAUUUAAAAUACUAAGACAUGUUUAAAAUUAUCCAGCAAAAUCAGUUUCAAGAUAGCACGAUCUAAACAGACAGCAGGGAUUGACUUCACAGGCUGUAGUACUGACAGAAAAUGGUCAAUGACGAAGUGAUUGACCUUGACACAGUUCUUCAAGGACAUCUGGAAGAUUUUUAUCAAGCCUGCACCCAAACUGCCAUCAAUGAGGCGCAUUCUGUGUGUGAAGAUGGUUACUAUGGCAACAAGGACCAGUUUAUAUCAUCUUUUAUUUUACCAGUGUGCCAUUUGUUUCAAACACUUAAAAAGGAUGAAGACUGGUGCCAGUGUGGGAAUCACAAACUGUGGCCUGUCUGCUACGGAGUAAAAGAACAAGUACUCUGCGACAAAGAAAUUCAAGCUUUUUUCGCCAUGGAAAUAAUGAGUCGACGGACAAGUUGUGUUCAGACGAAGAACUGGGGCGAAUGUUGCAAAGGUGUUUGGUGCUGUUUGAAGGCAGUGUGCAACAUCUUAAAUGGGAUGAAACAACACAAGGUUGCCAGACUGUCAAAGGAAUCGCAUGAUCAAAGACCUGCUGAAAAACCAGUCAGGGCAGUGGAAUGGUAGCCGCCCUAAUUAUCUGUGUCUGACAGAGGGUAUGUCCACCAAGAACUCUGACCGUGGUGGGGCCACCCAGGGACCAGGGCCAGGAGGGGGGCAGAGACCCCUCAGCCCCAGAAGUCCCGGGUUCCACAAACAUCGAAAUCUUGACGCUCCAAAAACUGUGAUGGAUGUGGAUUAUAAACUACUGAAUUCAGGAAUAGCUGUUCUACCAGGGAGCCGAGAUUCAGAGGAGCGUCCAGUCGUGUUCAUCUUCACAAACAGCUCCCUGUGGCAGAACCAACAGGUGCCCAGCACAGAGCUGGCCAGACUCCUGAUGUAUUACAGGAGUAUACCCAGAGACGAAGUCAGACUCCAUGGUUUUACAGUUGUUGCAGUAAUACAGGGUGCUACUUCUUCCAUAAUCAAUACUUUACUAGAAAGUCUCUAUCUAUUUGAGGGGAACUGUCCUGGCGGUAUAGCUGUCCUACAUUUCCUAGCAGACACUUACACCCAGCCCCUGCUACAGAUGUCACCUGUAUUCGACUCCCAAACUCCGUUCAAGUUGGAUGUUCUUCUUGCCCCUGAGUUAUUACAAGAGUUCAUUCCCCUGGAUCAGCUUCCAUUAGAUCUAGAUGGACACUAUAUGUAUAAUCAUGAGGAGUGGAUCCGAUUUCAUGUGGAAUUGGACCCAUUCAUCAGCAAGAUUCGAGGUGUGGCUAAAUACCUGAUGGUCACCAUGCAGGAGCUGAGUGAGCCCCACAUAAUGCCGGUCACUGCUCAGGAGGCUCGACAACUCAUUGAGCACCAUGAACAGUCCAUGAAGGCUGCAUUUAACGAUGCGCGACUGAUCUCACUCCAGAAUGAGGGCGAGUCCAUCAUCAACUGCCUCAGGAGAUUGGAUGCUCACAUGGGACACUCGGAGGACUACAGGGAUUUGAUGGAGUCUGUGAACAAGUUGUAUGAUAACUUGAACAGCACCAUGGUUAAACUGGUUCAUAUAGCUGAUAGCAGGCUGUCCAAGCUUGAACACUGCCAACAGCUCAGGGAAUUCGAGGAAGAAUGUACCAAGAUUAUUGCCUGGACAGAACGGACAGGUGAGGAGUAUCUACAGAGACACACCCAGCUCGGGGACAACCUCAAGUCCAUCCGCGUUCAGCAGAAGGAGUUCGAGAAGUUCUACUUCUCUGCUAUGACACACAUAGAGAAGGGCAAUGAUCUGCUGGACGAGGCCAGCAUGCUUGCUCAGUCCGGGAACUUCGAGGAAGCCACUGGAUACAAGGAGCUGGCUCGGACUCUCAAGAAGCACCUCCAGUCCUUCACGUCCAAACUGGAGGACACACGGGAACAGAUUGAGCGCACCGCCAAGUGUUACCAGCUGUUGGAUAAGACUUACGAGUGGGCCUUAGAUGCAAUGAAAUAUGUGGCAAGUAUGAAAAUGGAACACUGUGAAACAUUGAACGGAUUGGAUAAGUUACUAAGAAGUCUGGAUUUAUAUUUACGUGAUCACCCAGUAAUGAAACCAGAAACAUUCACUUGCAUGUUUGAUCUGGCAGAAAAACUUCAGAGCGACAAAUUAUUGGAACAGUGUCGCGUGGCCAAAGAACGAUGUGAUGAAACACAAAAACUGCUAAUGUUACGGCAGUGUACACUCAAAAGGGCAAGAGAGAAACUUGAAGUAGAACAACAAGAGACUAGUCCCCCGGAUAGCAUGAAAUCCUUGAGCCGUGAACAAUCCCCAGCAUCUAGUGUUGUGAGUUCCAGGAGAUUUCCCAGUCCCCAGGAGUCCGUGUGGGAGCCCCAGUCCUCCAGUACUCCUUUAAGGGUAGUGAGACCCCACCCCGAACUACGCAAAAGUAUGUCGGAUCGUUUCCUACGGUCUCAGUUACCAAGGGAAGAUUUUUACACUCAAGACAUGUCUGACCGUAUUGUAACAGCCCUACCCAAGUCCCUCAUUGAAUCCCGCCAUGGGUCCUCGCGGGAGGACCUCACCGAUACAGGAAGUGACAUGGCCAAUGCCUCCCCCAGCCAUGACUUCAAACCCCAACCCCUCCACUCUGUGUCACCCAUUAACUCUACCUCAAGUCUUCCCUACCACAGACCCCAGAAAAAGGUCCUCAAGCGCGUUCCCACUGUUCCCUCACCAGGCAACAUUAUUAUGGAGGAGGAGGACCAGUCAAUGGACCGGAACCACCAAGUGUGGAGUAAAAGUCAGGACCCACGACCCAUCAGUUUGAUCACUGCCAGUUCUGACAGCUUGUCAAGCCUUCCAGAGGAGGAGACGGAGAAUCAAGCCCCAGGGGAGGACAAUCCUCCACCUCUUCCCCCACUCCCUCGGGAAUGGACCCCUGUCCCUGUCAACACACAUCUCACAUCCAUGCCAGCAGUAUCAGAACUUAAGCUGUCCAGUGCAGAAAAGAGUAAAAGAACACUGACCCACAUCAUGCGGGAGAUGGUACAGACAGAGAGGGACUAUGUCCUGUCUCUGCAGUAUGUCAUAGAGAACUACAUCCCUGAGCUCCAGCGCCCAGAUGUACCUCAGGCCCUGCGGGGGAAGGGCAGCAUCAUCUUUGGGAACAUUGAGAAGAUCUAUCAGUUCCACCGUCAGUACUUCCUGAGGGAGGUGGAGAGAUGUGAGAGGAACCCGUUCCAGAUUUCUCAUUACUUUCUCAUGCAUGAGUCCCAAUUUUACCUCUAUGCCCUCUAUAACAAGAACAAGCCAAAGUCAGACAUGUUGAUGGCAGAGUACGGAAAAGUAUUUUUCAAGGAUAAGCAAGCCAAGUUGGGGGACAAAAUGGACCUGGGCAGCUACCUGCUAAAGCCGGUACAGAGGAUGGGGAAAUACGCCCUGCUGCUGAAACAGAUCAUGAAGGAGUGUCCCCCCACGGACCAGGAGUAUCAGGAUCUUCGGGCAGCUGAACAAAUGGUCAAGUUCCAACUUCGCCAUGGCAAUGAUCUUCUAGCAAUGGAUUCUCUUCGUGACUGUGAUGUCAAUUUACAAGAACAAGGGAGGUUACUGCGACAGGACGAGUUCAUUGUGUGGCAGGGCAGGAGGAAGUCUCUGCGUCACGUGUUCUUGUUCGAGGAUCUGAUCCUGUUCAGUAAGACAAGGAGAGGCCGCAGCGGGGGACCAGACAGCUAUUUCUACAAAUUCUCCUUAAAGAUGGCUGAAGUAGGGCUGACAGAGAGUUAUGGGGACACUGGAUACAAGUUUGAGAUCUGGUUCCGUAAGAGAUCAAAGGGGGAAAGCUACAUUUUACAAGCACAAAGCUCGGACAUUCGUCAUCAUUGGGUGAAGGAAAUCUCACGUGUCCUGUGGAACCAAGCCAUCACAAACAGAGAAAAGCACAUGUCUGAGAUGGCCACAAUGGGAAUUGGAAACAAACCCUGCUUAGAAAUCAAACCCAGUGCCAACCAGAUAAAUGACCGCUUUAUCAAUGUGGCAUCUGGCAACUUCCAGUCUCGUACAAGGAAUUCCAUAGCUGUAUCAUCAUUUGAUCACAUGUAUCAGAACAACAAGCGCCCCCACUCCAUCAUCUCCAUCAGUAGUACCUCCUCCUCCAGCAGCAGCCACUCGGGGGCCUUCCACCCCCACCACCUACCCCAGGACACCUCAAGAACCACCAACUAUCUCUCCAAUGAGAGUGGUAUUGGAACAGACAUUUCUUCGGGCGAGGACCAUGGGAUCAGAUACGACCAAUCAGAAAGAGGCAUUGCAUUUACACGGCAACCUGCAAUCAACGAGUCCAAUCUGUUUAGUGAUACAAUUAGCACAGAUGUUUGAUUGAUUACUAGUGGGCAGCUGUGAUGAGAAAGUAAAUAGACUUACAGUACAACAAAGACUACUGCCAUUCGGAAUCCUCAAUUACCACGGGAGUAAAAUAAUCCUGGGCAUCGCUUUUGCAAAAGAACUUACAACUUAGUAGUACAUGUACAACCAAAUGCUCUUUUUUUCAUAAACUAACAAAUGCUUCAACUUAGUACUGGUAAAAUACAUGUGUGUAUAAAUGUGAGUAAAUUGUUAUAUAAUUUUUUGCAUUAUAAUAAAUGUAUUAAAAAGGUGUAAAUAUUUACUACUUUGUUGUAAGCUCAGUUGUAAGACAUGCCCGCCUGUUCCAUGAGGUUCUUCCUUUUGUCGGUUUUCAAGGGAUAUCAAUUUCGAGAUAAAAGGGUGAACCAAACUUGGAAACAAAAAGUUUGAAUAACAAUUGAGAAUUGGACUCAAGAGAAUACAUUUGCUCCAAGGAGUAUGGAUUUUGAAACUGAAGGAAAUGCUUUUGAGUGCUUAAACAUUGACUCAAAGAUUUAUGAAUGUUGUAAAAUGAAAUAGAAUCCAUUCUGUACCAAAGGAUUGUUACUGCUGGAUAUGGUGCUAAUUGUCUUUGUGUCUUCUUUACAUGUUAAGGUUGUGUAGAUCUGUUUUCAGCAUUUUAUUUUUUUUCUCUAUUUGUGUAAACAAAGUUAACAACAGGAUCAAAAGAAUUUCACUCGUAUUUUUCUACCUCAUCCAUAUUUAUUCUUUUUUUUUCAUCAUCAUUACCGUGGGUUUCUAUUGAAGAGACCAAAUUUAGAUUUUUUUGUUCCUUGAGGCAGUUGUACAUUUGUUGUUAUUUAUUGUAACUGUGCAUAUUGUCAUUCUAUAAUGCUGAUUAUCAGUCGAUAAUACUUCAAAUGCCAAAUAAUCACUGUACAUUUAAUUGAUGAGUAUUAAAUAUGUCAAAAUUUG